GGCCACACUGGGACUGAGACACGGCCCAGACUCCUACGGGAGGCAGCAGUGGGGAAUAUUGCACAAUGGGCGGAAGCCUGAUGCAGCGACGCCGCGUGAGGGAUGACGGCCUUCGGGUUGUAAACCUCUUUCAGUAGGGACGAAGCGGAAGUGACGGUACCUACAGAAGAAGCGCCGGCCAACUACGUGCCAGCAGCCGCGGUAAGACGUAGGGCGCGAGCGUUGUCCGGAAUUAUUGGGCGUAAAGAGCUCGUAGGCGGCUUGUUGCGUCGGCUGUGAAAUCCCAUGGCUUAACUGUGGGCUUGCAGCCGAUACGGGCAGGCUAGAAUUCGGUAGGGGAGACUGGAAUUCCUGGUGUAGCGGUGAAAUGCGCAGAUAUCAGGAGGAACACCGGUGGCGAAGGCGGGUCUCUGGGCCGAUAUUGACGCUGAGGAGCGAAAGCGUGGGGAGCGAACAGGAUUAGAUACCCUGGUAGUCCACGCUGUAAACGUUGGGCGCUAGGUGUGGGGGACCUCUCCGGUUCUCUGUGCCGCAGCUAACGCAUUAAGCGCCCCGCCUGGGGAGUACGGCCGCAAGGCUAAAACUCAAAGGAAUGA
rnacentral:rRNA from 1 species